AUUGCACGCUGGCGGCAGGCCUAACACAUGCAAGUCGGGAGAGCGGCGGAAGGAUGAGUAAGGUAUGGGGCUCUGCCUGAUGGAGGGGGAUAACAACUGGAAACGGUAGCUAAUACCGUCAACAGUCACAUCAGCCCGUAUGGGAUUAGCGUGUAGGUAAGGUAACUGCUUGCCAAGGCGACGAUCCGUAGCUGGUCUGAGAGGAUGAUCGGCCCCACUGGAACUGAGACACGGCCCAGACUCCUACGGGAGGCAGCAGUGGGUAAUAUUGCACAAUGGGCGCAAGCCUGAUGCAGCCAUGCCGCGUGUAUGAAGAAGGUCUUCGGGUUGUAAAGUACUUUAAGUCGGGAGGCGUUACCGACAGAAGAAGCACCGGCUAACUUCGUGCCAGCAGCCGCGGUAAUAC
rnacentral:rRNA from 1 species